GAUCUGAGGGACCUGUGUGGUUGUGGUUCACAGCUCUGAAAAUGCAGUUGGGUUCACAGGACUCCUUAAUAAUGUUACUGAAGUGUAUUGAUACCAAAAUGGGAUAUCCAUAAGUGAGGUAGGGAGUCUGACCUCUGGCUGGAUGUAUAGGUCUACUUUACAUUGCACUUACGAGAUCAGGUCCAACACCAAGCUUCCUUUCCCCAGGGACCAGACUAAGGAAGAAGAUGCUUGUGCUAAAAAACUCAGCCCCUCUGAGCACUGGAG